rnacentral:rRNA from 1 species
AUGCCUUUCUCUUUAUAUCGUAGACUUGAUUUGAAUAAGUUGACACCGACUAAAAUAUCUUUGCAAAUGGCUAACAAAUCAACUGCUAUAACUGUCGGUAUUUGUGAGAAUGUGCCUGUUGUGGUUGCAAACGUUACUAUUUUAACGGACUUUGUUAUUCUUGAUAUUCCCGAGGAUGAUAGUAUGUCUAUUAUUCUUGGAAGACCCUUUUUGAAUACUACAGGAGCUGUUAUUGAUUGCACCAAAGGCAAUGCCACUUUUCAUGUUAAUGGUAAUGAGCAUACGGUACACUUUCCGAGGAAACAACCUCAAGUUCAUAGUAUUAAUUCUAUUGGAAAAGUUCCAUUGAUUAUUUUUGGAGGUUUUGAAUUUCCCCUUCUUACUGUCAAGAAGAAAUAUGAUAUUCUAAUUAUUGGGUAUGUGCAUAUCCCCAUUGAGGUAACAUAG